ACCUGGCUGGCUCAGUGGGUAGAGCACGUGACUCUUGAUCUUGGGGUCAUGUGUUCAAGCCACAUGUUGGGCA
rnacentral:tRNA from 1 species